rnacentral:lncRNA from 1 species
UAAUUUAAAAUGUAUUAAAAAAUAAGAGUUGAAUACUAAAUGAAUAUGAAAAAAAUAAUGAAUUAUACAAAUUGAAAUGAAAAAAAACUUAAUUGAAAUAAAAUUAAACUAACAGGGAUAAUUAAUAAAUAAAAUAAAUCAUUGAAACAGAACCAAGGACCAAAGCUCAAUGCGCACAAAUACGCGAGGAUUGAAAAGGUAAAUAUUCCAAAUAUCAAAAUGUAACGUUUAAGCGCGGAUCCAGUUGAAUUGUCGCACAAAUUCUGGGGAAAAUUAAAAAAAAAAGGAAAUCUGAAGUAAGUCUGAUCGCAUGCUAAUGCGAAAGGAAGGGACCAAUCAUGCAAAUUGACCAUUUACAACAAAAGGGCGCGGAUCCGACCUGCUGAUCGGAUAUAUGCGCGGAUCCCUUUCUCUAUGAAACGACACCGUUUCGCUUGCCAUUAAAAACUAAAAAAACGAUUGAAUGGCACUUUGCCAUUUUUUGCUGAAACUAAUCCUUAAUCCCCCUUUUCUCCUAUUUUUCACAUUGGCCGACCUUAACCUUUCCCCUGAACGCUGAUCCAUCUCCAUAACGACGACAAGCCUUUCGAUUGCUUAGCCUUAGGUUCCCUCUACGCCUUGACUUCGGCAAAGAAAAAGGAAACCAUGGCAUCUGGUAAGGAACCUCUUUAAUUUUUUUUACUUUCUAAGGCUUUAAAACUAUAAUGAAAAAAAUAAAGGAAAUAGAAUCCAAAAGGAAGCAUAAAAUCCAGAAAAGUUGAAUCUAAAAUCACCUUUUAAGAACUGAUUUUGGAUUACUCUCUAUUUUUCUACAAUAUGCGUAUGUAUUUCUUUUUUUAAAAGAGAUCCCUUUUACAUUCGAUUUCACUGGCUUUUAUAGCCGAAAAAAAUAAUAAUUAAAAAUACAAAAAUGUUCCCUUAGAUCUAUUUGUUGUCAAUCUGCUGUGAGUUGUUUUCUAUUAUUUUCUUCUCGCAGGUUCGAUUGUACGGAGGAGAACGCUCGUGGGGAUGACGUGGAGGAGGCUCGGAGGCUCUGCGGAACCGCUCGUGGGAGCCCGACUCCCUGGCGCUGUUCUGGCACGUUCCAGAAGCUUCCGCUGCACGUAAACUUGUUGGCUUAGGGUUUCUUGAGUGUUUUUCCAUUUUGGGCCUGGAUUUGGGUUAGGGGUUUAUUUUAGUUUGGGCUAAAUAAUUGGGCUUGUAAUAGAGACAUUGGUCCUAAUUAUUUUAGUUUUAUUUUGGUUUUGGUUCUGGUGCAAGCCCGGGCAGAUUUGGGCCUAUAUAAAAUGAAUGUUUAAUUGUUUUAUAAAUUUGGUAAUGCUUUGUAACCCUAGUCUGGCGUUGAAUAUGGGUGAGGGGUGUCACAAAAUUUCACCUUUUAUAAGUCCAAAAAUUCUUUCACAAAAUAAUUCAUCCUUUUCCGAUUUAUUGGUUUUGUAAUGUAAAGUAUAGAGUUUUGUCAACUCUCCAUCAUUUUUUCCAUUAGGCAAGAUUUUCUUACCCCAAACACUUAUUUGUUGGAAAGCAGACCUGUAACAACCCGUAUUCAGUGAAAUCAGAACAGUGGUUUCGGAACCACAAAUCCAAGUCCGGAAGAAAAAAUAUUUUAAUAUUAUUGCAUAGUCUGCAUAAUGAUAGAAAUAUCGUAUGGAAAUUUUGUUAAGAAAAUUUUAUCGAUUUCAUGUUUAAUUUGAUGAAAAGGACCAAAUUUCAUAAAGUGCAAAAGUUGGAUUCUAAUAGCUAAAGGGAUCAAAUAGCUAUGAAAUUCAAAACUAGAGGUCCUUAUAUGAAAAAUAAACCAUUUAGAAGAGUUAGUAGAUAAGUAUGUUUAGUCAUUUAUAGAAAAUAAAUAAAAUGACUAGAUUGGAAAGAGAAAAGAUAUAAGAUGAUAAAUAAUAAAAGAAUUGAAAAUAUCAUCAUUCUAUCAUCUUUCCUAAAAUUAAAGACAUGAAAACCCUAGUUAUGGUUGAAGAGUUCCAGCAAACUAUUUUGGCUUGAUUAGAUAUGAAUUCUUGUCCCGUUUUUAGUAAUUUUCAUAUUUAUAGAUUGUAAUAUCUUAAUUUUGUUAUCUCAGGGAUUAAUUUGUAAAGUUAUCAAAGUACUAAAGUUUUUCCAUGGAUGAUUAUGCAUGAACUAUGAAGUUUUGUGGUAGAAAUUGAAAGGUUGUUGAUAGAUAAACAACUUUUGUAAAAGGGAAUUUUGAUGAAAUUGUGAUUUAGGGAUUAAAUUGAAAAGAUGUAAAAUUUAUGGAAAAAAUUCUAAAUUUUGUGAGAUACAUGAAUUUCAUGGAAUAAAUAUUAAAUUGCAUAAAUUUCAUUUUUUGAGCCUAGGGACGAAAUUAGAAUUAAUUAAAAGUAUAGGGGCAAAAUGAUAAUUUUGCCUAAGAUGUGAAUUGGAUUAAAUUGAAUAUGAAUUGUACUAAAUUGAUGUUAAAUUUAUUCUUAUAGAUCAUGAUAGACCAAAUACAGAGUUAGAACGAGGAAAAGAAAAAGCAUAAGAUUAGUAGAUUACAAAUCCAUGAAACACUUGUCGAGGUAAGUUCGUGUAACUAAAUUGUAUGUUUAUAUUUUUGAAUUGAAUGUUGUGUAUGUGAAUUGUGUAAAUUUCCAUGUAUGAAAAUUAAUCACAUAUCCAACAAUGUUCGACAAGUAUAAAGUCUCGAGUGUACAAAUAAAAAUUCAAUGGAUACAGGAUUCCCUAAUUGGUUGUGGUCCUGCAUGUGUUGCAGACACACCAUAACUCAAAAGAGCGUCCCGUUAUUAGCUCUUAUGAGCAUUUCGAUAUUUGGCUUUUACGAGCUUCCCGUUACAUAGUUCAGUGAGCUUCCCAUUAAUAGCUCUUCGGAGCAUCCCGAUUAGUUGUGAUCUUGCAUAUGUUGUGGACACACCGCAGCUCUUAUGAGCGUCCCGAUAUAUUGCUCUUUGGAGCUUUUCGUUUAAAGGCUUUUCAUGAGCAUCUCGAUUAAUGACUUUCCGGAGCUUCCCGAUAUUGCUCGCUUGAACUUCCCGUUACAUGGCUCACUUGAGUUUCCUAUAAUAUGGCUCGAAAGAGCUUCCUGUUUACAUGUUUGCAUGAGCAUUCAUGUACAUGAAUUGAUGGAUUACAGUUUUGUACACAUUGUGUGUACUACCCGUGUAUCCAUCGAUAUUUUCAAUAAUUCAACGGACAAAAUUUUGACAUGAGAAAAUAUGAGUUCAAAAUGAAUUAUUACCCGUAUAUAUACCUAAAAUACAUGAAAGUGAUGAUAUUUGACAAAUUGAAAUAUGGGAUGAAAGAUACAUGUGUAUGAAAUUUGCUCGAUGACUAUGUACAUUUAUGAAUAUGAAUUGUUACAUGAAUUUCAUGACUAACAUGCUUGAUAAGGAUAUGUGCUAGGGUUUUUGGUCAAUUUGCUUAAGUAUGCCUUGUAUGUUUAUUUUAAUUGUAAUUAAAUGGUAAGUUAACUUCCCGUUAUACGAACUUACUAAGCAUUAAAUGCUUACUCUGUUUUAUUUUCUCUAUCUUAUAGUACUCUGAAGCUCGUAAAGGUUGAAAGCUGGUCAGAGCUACAUCACACUAUCUAUCGGCCCAUUUCGAUAUAUAUAUAUAUAGAUAAUUAAUUUUGGUUAUAAUGGCAUGUAUAGAUUAAUUAACCAAAUGUUGGCAUGUAAUGUUUUGGUUGUAACUAGCCAUUGGAAUGGCUUGUGAUAGGCAUGGUUUUGAUGUGUAUAUAAGAGGUUAUAUCAUGUUUGAUGUUAGUGUUUGGUAUAGUUGAUUGAUA